CAACCGCUGACGAUGGUCGUGAAUGUUG
rfam:Flavobacteriaceae bacterium TMED81 16920, whole genome shotgun sequence.